GGUUAAGCGACUAAGCGUACACGGUGGAUGCCCUGGCAGUCAGAGGCGAUGAAGGGCGUGCUAAUCUGCGAUAAGCGCCGGUAAGGUGAUAUGAACCGUUAUAACCGGCGAUACCCGAAUGGGGAAACCCAGUGUGAUUCGUCACACUAUCAUUAACUGAAUCCAUAGGUUAAUGAGGCGAACCGGGGGAACUGAAACAUCUAAGUACCCCGAGGAAAAGAAAUCAACCGAGAUUCCCCCAGUAGCGGCGAGCGAACGGGGAGGAGCCCAGAGCCUGAAUCAGCAUGUGUGUUAGUGGAAGCGUCUGGAAAGGCGCGCGAUACAGGGUGACAGCCCCGUACACAAAAGCGCAUGUGCUGUGAGCUCGAUGAGUAGGGCGGGACACGUGGUAUCCUGUCUGAAUAUGGGGGGACCAUCCUCCAAGGCUAAAUACUCCUGACUGACCGAUAGUGAACCAGUACCGUGAGGGAAAGGCGAAAAGAACCCCGGCGAGGGGAGUGAAAAAGAACCUGAAACCGUGUACGUACAAGCAGUGGGAGCCCCACCACUAAGCCAGUGGUGAACUCCACAUCCGCAUCCUUUGCUGAGGAUACGGUUAACGGAGCGAAAGCGACGUUCAACCGCAAAACAAGCAGAGGGGGCUUAGUGGUGGGGUGACUGCGUACCUUUUGUAUAAUGGGUCAGCGACUUAUAUUCUGUAGCAAGGUUAACCGUAUAGGGGAGCCGGAGGGAAACCGAGUCUUAAUUGGGCGUUAAGUUGCAGGGUAUAGACCCGAAACCCGGUGAUCUAGCCAUGGGCAGGUUGAAGGUUGGGUAACACUAACUGGAGGACCGAACCGACUAAUGUUGAAAAAUUAGCGGAUGACCUGUGGCUGGGGGUGAAAGGCCAAUCAAACCGGGAGAUAGCUGGUUCUCCCCGAAAGCUAUUUAGGUAGCGCCUCGUGAAUUCAUCUCCGGGGGUAGAGCACUGUUUCGGCUAGGGGCCAUCCCGGCUUACCAACCCGAUGCAAACUGCGAAUACCGGAGAAUGUUAUCACGGGAGACACACGGCGGGUGCUAACGUCCGUCGUGAAGAGGGAAACAACCCAGACCGCCAGCUAAGGUCCCAAAGUCAUGGUUAAGUGGGAAACGAUGUGGGAAGGCCCAGACAGCCAGGAUGUUGGCUUAGAAGCAGCCAUCAUUUAAAGAAAGCGUAAUAGCUCACUGGUCGAGUCGGCCUGCGCGGAAGAUGUAACGGGGCUAAACCAUGCACCGAAGCUGCGGCAGCGAACGUAUCACCCAAGACAACUUUACGGAGUUGACGAUUGACGGAGCGAAGCGACGUCAAAGCGUUCAUUAAAGUCGAGUUGGCUUAGGGAUACGUUCGUUGGGUAGGGGAGCGUUCUGUAAGCCUGUGAAGGUGUGUCGUGAGGCAUGCUGGAGGUAUCAGAAGUGCGAAUGCUGACAUAAGUAACGAUAAAGCGGGUGAAAAGCCCGCUCGCCGGAAGACCAAGGGUUCCUGUCCAACGUUAAUCGGGGCAGGGUGAGUCGACCCCUAAGGCGAGGCCGAAAGGCGUAGUCGAUGGGAAACGGGUUAAUAUUCCCGUACUUGGUGUUACUGCGAAGGGGGACGGAGAAGGCUAUGUUGGCCGGGCGACGGUUGUCCCGGUUUAAGCGUGUAGGUGUGUGUUCCAGGUAAAUCCGGUUCACUUUAACACUGAGGCGUGACGACGAGGCACUACGGUGCUGAAGCAACAAAUGCCCUGCUUCCAGGAAAAGCCUCUAAGCAUCAGGUAACACGAAAUCGUACCCCAAACCGACACAGGUGGUCAGGUAGAGAAUACCAAGGCGCUUGAGAGAACUCGGGUGAAGGAACUAGGCAAAAUGGUGCCGUAACUUCGGGAGAAGGCACGCUGACACGUAGGUGAAGUGAUUUACUCAUGGAGCUGAAGUCAGUCGAAGAUACCAGCUGGCUGCAACUGUUUAUUAAAAACACAGCACUGUGCAAACACGAAAGUGGACGUAUACGGUGUGACGCCUGCCCGGUGCCGGAAGGUUAAUUGAUGGGGUCAGCGUAAGCGAAGCUCCUGAUCGAAGCCCCGGUAAACGGCGGCCGUAACUAUAACGGUCCUAAGGUAGCGAAAUUCCUUGUCGGGUAAGUUCCGACCUGCACGAAUGGCGUAAUGAUGGCCAGGCUGUCUCCACCCGAGACUCAGUGAAAUUGAACUCGCUGUGAAGAUGCAGUGUACCCGCGGCAAGACGGAAAGACCCCGUGAACCUUUACUAUAGCUUGACACUGAACAUUGAGCCUUGAUGUGUAGGAUAGGUGGGAGGCUUUGAAGUGUGGACGCCAGUCUGCAUGGAGCCGACCUUGAAAUACCACCCUUUAAUGUUUGAUGUUCUAACGUGGACCCGUAAUCCGGGUUGCGGACAGUGUCUGGUGGGUAGUUUGACUGGGGCGGUCUCCUCCUAAAGAGUAACGGAGGAGCACGAAGGUUGGCUAAUCCUGGUCGGACAUCAGGAGGUUAGUGCAAUGGCAUAAGCCAGCUUGACUGCGAGCGUGACGGCGCGAGCAGGUGCGAAAGCAGGUCAUAGUGAUCCGGUGGUUCUGAAUGGAAGGGCCAUCGCUCAACGGAUAAAAGGUACUCCGGGGAUAACAGGCUGAUACCGCCCAAGAGUUCAUAUCGACGGCGGUGUUUGGCACCUCGAUGUCGGCUCAUCACAUCCUGGGGCUGAAGUAGGUCCCAAGGGUAUGGCUGUUCGCCAUUUAAAGUGGUACGCGAGCUGGGUUUAGAACGUCGUGAGACAGUUCGGUCCCUAUCUGCCGUGGGCGCUGGAGAACUGAGGGGGGCUGCUCCUAGUACGAGAGGACCGGAGUGGACGCAUCACUGGUGUUCGGGUUGUCAUGCCAAUGGCACUGCCCGGUAGCUAAAUGCGGAAGAGAUAAGUGCUGAAAGCAUCUAAGCACGAAACUUGCCCCGAGAUGAGUUCUCCCUGAGACUUAGAGUCUCCUGAAGGAACGUUGAAGACGACGACGUUGAUAGGCCGGGUGUGUAAGCGCAGCGAUGCGUUGAGCUAACCGGUACUAAUGAACCGUGAGGCUUAACCUU
rnacentral:rRNA from 1 species